AAAACCUGGAUUGUAGCUUUCCCUGGGCUGACUGUCAAAGGAGGUGGUUUUAAAAAGCAAGCCAAACAGGUUUCCAUCCUUUAGGAAGACCCUGGAACGUGCCAGUUGAUUCUGACAAUUUCUCAUGAACAGAAACACCUAGGAAGGGAGAACUGGGCCCGCCUGGCAGGACGACUGAGCAAGUCCUUGGAAAACCAGAGAUAUUAGAGCGGUGAAUCGCGCUGGUCACGUUGGACACCUGCGCGUUAGGAGAUUCUGGAGCCAGAGGGAGAGACCCCAGAAACUCCCCGGUCGGCGACCCAGCCCGAGACGCCUGGGGUCCCAAGGGAAGCUGAACGCCCGGUGGGCUCCCGGGAUGGUUCUUCCGGUUCUUUGUGCCGCCUUCACCCAGUGAAGGAGCCUGUAUCCACCCUGCCCAGUCGCUGUUGGGCUGCUGCGGAGCUUCCGCUGCCAUCUUCGGAUCCUGUGUUCCGCCCGGGGCUCCACCAGGGCAGGGAUGGUGGUGAGGGUCGCUCGUGGGUCCCCUGGCAGGGAGCAGGGUCUGGCACUCACAAGGGCGCACGACUAGGACUUGUCGAAUGAAUCCUUUGUCGCCUUUAGCUUUUAGUCCUUUGAAGAGAGAAUGGGGAAAUGGAGAGAGAACCUGAAAGAGCCCCAAACUCGAGGACCUAUUGCUCCCCAAGAAUAACAUCUUCCAGAACUAGACAGAAAACUAGGCGUCUGGGAACCCUGAAAUCCUUGGAGGAGUAGAUCAUCAUGACCCUCUGUGUUCCUUUUGGCAAAUGACUUGCUUCCAUUGUUUGUUUGUUCAAUUGUCUGUUUGUUAAAUAAAUAAAACCCUUUUCAUGUAUCUUUAAAAUUA
rnacentral:lncRNA from 1 species